GCGUUUAUUUUGUUCUUCUUUGGUAUCUUUUUGUAAUAUUUUAUUAUUUUCCGAUGAUUGUUUGUCAUUCCAGAAAUUUUCAAACAUAAAAAGAAUGUGUCCACGUAGGAACAUCGGAACAAGAAUAUGCAACAAACAUAGGGAGAAGAGAGAGAAAAAGAGACUGUGUGUGGUGUGAGAUCCAAACUUGCUUUCGUGGUUAUGACCACAGUGUGUUGUCGCUGCUUAAUUCUCGCCAUUUCGCCAAUGUUGCUUUUCCGAAGCAGAAAUUGAACCUUCAUGUUUGGUUUUGUGGCUCACAACUUGGUCUGAGAUACUCAUCAGUUUGUCAUGGACUAUUGGCCCUUCUAAAGAGUUAAAGAUUGAUUGGUUUGUAUAUGCACAGCUAGACAAACUUAGAAAAAGGGGGUAUUUUAUGUUUUCUGUCGAUGUAUGCAUUGAUUAUGCGUUUAAUUGCUAGAAGAUGUGAUCCUCCUCUCUUCGGUUGUAAGAGGCUGUACAUGAUUUCUUGCUGCCGUUCACUAUCCUUAAAUAUAUCUGCUUUGUUUUGAUUAUCUUUGAUAUGGUAUUUGGCCGCUGAGAAUUGAGAACUACGGUGUUAGUAGAAAGAAGGAAUUAGACACGAAUUUGUUGGUUAGUCAGAUGUUUACACUUCUGGCUUGUUAUUAUACUGGCACUAUGAAAAGAAUUAGUUACGAGAGAAGAUGAGAAAAGGGCACUAUAUAAGACAGGAAGAAUGUUAGGUACCAACACUGGUAAGGAUCCUAGCAUGUUUCCUCAACAUGCCCAACAAGACCUAUCUAGUAGUGUUUCAAAUACAGGGCGUCAUGUGCAAAAUAAUAUCACUAUGCUGGCAGGGGAAGAAUUUUACGCGAAUGUUGGUCGUGAUGGAAUUGCUGCUGGAAAGGUUCUUGUUUCACCAGAUAUACCUCGAAAUCAUGAGAAUGUGUUUGGUUUGAAUAGAGAGAAUCGCAAUGUGAGAUAUGAAGAUCUUACUAAUAUUUUGGGGCUGAGGAGAAUGGACUCUCAGAAUUCUUCUGAUAUAUCUGACUUUGUAUCUUUGAAACAGUCAGUACAUGAGAUGGAAAAUGGAGCUUCUGUAAACAUUUCAAACAAAAUUCAAAAGGGUGAUGGUAUGUUGAGGAAGGCUGUUCAAGAACCAGUGGGUGACCAGUCUGGUCUCGCAGUUGUAUCACCACUUUGUAGAUAUGAAGCUUCUCAGUCCAAUGUAUUUUCUGGUUCAGGAGUUGUAGACGAUUUUUUGUCUGGGAAAGUGAAGUUUCUGUGCAGUUUUGGUGGAAAAAUAUUACCAAGACCCAGUGAUGGGAAACUCAGGUAUGUAGGGGGAGAUACCCACAUCAUAUCUAUCCCAAAGGAUAUUUCGUGGCAAGAGCUUAUGAAGAAGACCUUGGGUAUUUGCAAUCAACCUCACACAAUAAAGUACCAGCUUCCAGGAGAGGAUCUUGAUGCUCUAAUAUCUGUUUCCUCUGAUGAAGAUCUUCAAAAUAUGAAAGAGGAGUACCAUGGACUUGAAAGGCAUGAACGUUCUCAAAAACUCAGAAUUUUUUUAGUUCCUUUGUGUGAAUCUGAAGAGACAUCAUCAACAGAGGUGAGUGCUGUUCAGCAGAGUGAUCCUGAUUACCAAUAUGUUGUUGCUGUAAAUGGAAUGGGAGACUCUACUCGAACAAACAUUGGUGGGCAAAAUUUGACAAAUGAAUCCAGUCAGUUGGGGACAGAUUUGAACUUUACUCCAGUUCUCCAAAAAACACCAAAUGCUUCUCCUUUGGAGAUCAGGGAUGGUAUUAAUGCUUUAAAUCCAGAUGGGCUUUUUAAUGAUUCCCUGAGUUUGCAAAGGCCUUUGUCAAUUCCUCCUGCUCCAAUUCCGGUAGCAGGUUCUAACACAGGUUAUAUACAAUUACUGGGUGACCACUCAUGUCAGGGUAGCAUUGAGAGCAAUGCAUCUUAUGCUACUACAAAGCUACAUCCUGAGUACUCUAAUAUAAGAACUAUUGGUUGCAUAUAUCCUCAGCACGUGAGUGACACUUGUUCUUAUCAGGGUGGUGAUGUUGGUCAGCCCAAGAAGCUCAAUGGAGGUCAUUUAGACUACAAUCCUAGCAAGGAAUUAGUCACUCCUGUAUAUGUUAAUCCCAGAGAUGAAUUUUUUGGUGGAAGGUCCUUGCAAAGGGAAAGGGUCUACUCUAAAACUCCUCUUUCAUUCUUGGAUGAUGUAAUUUGUCAACAGGGUGAAUCUUAUGGAACUACAGACUCCCCUCAUGGGAUACCCCAUGCUUUUUCUGAUCCACAAUUGCUAGAGACUGGAGCAAGGUCUGAUUGUUGCUCCCAAAAUGGAUAUGGUCAAUCUUUCUCCCUGAACCUUGAAAAGGGUCAAAUAUCUUCAUUGUUAAUCCCUAGUGUCUCACGGGUGAAUGUCAUGGAGCAUCAGCAUGAUUCUUUUGUCCAUCAUCCUCAUAUACAAAGUACAACACCAAAAGAGGAGUCAGCUCAUGCACCCAAAAGACAAGAUUUGACAUCUCCAUACUAUGAAUCCAUGGGAAUGAAUAAUCUUGUUCACAUGGAUAACACAUUAGCUGAAAGAAAGAACUCAAUUGCUCAAACAGACUUGGGGAUACCCAGCUACGAUGCAAAGGAUGUUAAGGAAAAUUCUGUGAAAUUAGAAAGGAUGAAGAUAAUUGAACAAAAGAAUUGUAUUCCCAAGGAUAGCAAUGGUCAGCAGGGGAAAUCAUUUGCUAUUGACAAGCGAUUUGUGGCUGAGUUGCAUCUCUUGGACUCCUUCCCUGCUAAUAACUUAAAUGCUGAUAUUAAUACGCAAAAGAAUAGGGAUCUACCUUUUGAGGGUAUUGUCCCUAUUCCAUCAGAUACGAUGGAUCUCUCCUUAAAUAAUUAUGCUGAAAAGACCACAUGUGAUUCUAACAUGAGCGAAAGGACUAGUGAGCACAAAAUCAACGCUUUGGCUAAAGGUCUGAAUGGUGAACAAGGGUUUGAUUUUUCAUGGACCAGAAAUUUUGACUUAAAUGCUCCAAUUUUAAAUUCUGAAGUAGGCUCUAGUGAUAAAAGUUCCCGAGGAGAUCAUACUUAUAAGUUGACCAUUCAUCCAGCUUCUCAUAAAGCUGCACAAAUUCAUCCUUCAAAGAAUCAUAUGGCUAUAGCUUUUCAAGAAAAUCCUACAAUAUGCUAUGGAAGUUUGUAUCCUGCUGCAUUUUGUGAUGAGCUUGAUCCAAGUGUAAACAUGCCUAUGAAUGACCCUGAUAACUCAAGCAAUAUUAUGCCACUUAAAAAGGCACCACCUUUGCAUGAUGACUUCAUUACCAGCACUGGUCAAAUGGUGGAUCAGUUCAUCCCCAAACACUCUGCCUCUGGAAUGUCAAAUGUUGAAGAUAAAGUUUCAGAACAACAAAAUAUUUUAGAAGGCUACACUAAUGUGAAUCAAGUGGAGUCGUUCAAUGUAGCAGACAUGACUCGUGUUGUUCAUCCUUAUAUUUUUAGUAAUAUUGGAAGUGUUGUUAUAUCCCCAUCUCAUACAGAAGCUGGGAGCAUCAUCCCUGAGUCUGAGCCUGAGGAUUUUAAUGAAGACAAAAAUGAAUUGUUUUCUGAUGCAAUGAUAGCAGAAAUGGAGGCUAGCAAUUAUGGUUUACAGAUAAUAAGGAAUGCUGAUCUUGAAGAACUUACAGAGUUGGGUUCUGGUACUUAUGGCACUGUUUAUCAUGGAAAAUGGCGGGGAACAGAUAUUGCUAUAAAGAGAAUUAAAAAGAGUUGCUUUGCCGGAAGGUCUUCUGAGCAAGAACGGUUGGCAAAAGAUUUUUGGAGAGAAGCACAAAUCCUUUCAAAUCUUCACCAUCCCAAUGUGGUUGCAUUUUAUGGAAUAGUACCGGAUGGGGCUGAAGGAACCUUAGCAACUGUAACAGAAUACAUGGUUAAUGGUUCCCUUAGGCAUGUCCUUGUAAAGAACAAUAGAUUACUUGAUCGCCGUAAAAAGCUAAUAAUUGCCAUGGAUGCAGCUUUUGGUAUGGAAUAUUUGCACUCAAAAAAUAUUGUCCAUUUUGAUUUGAAAUGUGACAAUUUGCUUGUGAAUCUAAGGGAUCCACAACGACCAAUAUGCAAGGUUGGAGAUUUUGGAUUAUCAAGAAUUAAACGCAAUACCCUUGUAUCUGGAGGUGUGCGAGGAACCCUUCCAUGGAUGGCACCAGAGCUGUUGAAUGGGAAUAGCAGUCGUGUUUCUGAAAAGGUUGACGUUUUCUCAUUUGGCAUCUCAAUGUGGGAGUUAUUAACAGGAGAGGAACCUUAUGCAGAUAUGCAUUGUGGCGCCAUUAUUGGAAAUCCCUGUGAUAAACUCUUCUGAAUUCAAUGUUGUUCAUAGUUGUUUGAAACUCACCAGACAAGGCGGCCAUUGAGUAUUUAUUCUAAACAAACUAUUGUUACUACUAUUAGGAUCAUUUGGUGGAUAGGUUAUAACAGAAUAUAGGAACAAGAAAACAGUAUGAUGGAAUAAGAAUAGAAUAAACUUUAAUCUUAUUCAACAUUUAAUACACACUAGAAAAUAAUGUAUCAUGUUGUCAUAUUUGACUCACGGCAGAUAGUGAUAAUUAUUGGUGGUGGUUGUGGUUGUGAACAAUGGUCAUGACAACAAUGGGUGGUGGUAGUGGUAGUGAUGGUGGUAGUGGUGAUGAGGUGAAGGUGGCUUUCCAACAAUGGUAAUGGCAGUGAGGUCACUAUAGUAAUGGUGGUGAUGGCAAGAGGGAGAGGGAGGAAGCGAAUAUUCUAUCUAAGCAAAACACUUUUUAUAGGAUCUUAUAUAGAAUAAUACCAUAAAGAACUAAUUUCCUAUUAAUAUAUCAAAAGAAUAAAUUAUAUUUGUACUGUAUGGACCGAUCGGCCAGCCGAAGGCCCCAUUUAGGAUAGAUGCCCUAGAACAAUUUUGAGCAGUAUAAUACCGUAAAAGUUAUAAAACACUACACCCAAAGUUAUCCACCAACUAUUGAGCAACUGAUCGAGCAACACCGGAGAGGUAUGCCUACAAAUAGAUCUUGUUCUUGAUGUGACGAUCGACUAGCCCUGGAUAUGGCAAUCAUUGCAAAAAUCAUGAAGAUUUGUGUGUCAACAAUCAGCCAAUCGUCCAAGGUGCGAUGCUCGCUAUAUAUCACUAAGAUGUGGUGAUAACUACGAAAAUCAUAAAGAUUUGUGCAUCAACGAUUGACUAGUCAUCCAAGGUGCGAUGCUCGAUAUAUAUCACUAAGAUGUGGCGAUCACUUCGGAGAUCAGGAAUAUUUGUUCGUCAACGAUUAACCAUCUGUCCAAGGUGUGAUGCUCGAUAUAUACCACUACGAUGUGGCGAUCACUUCAGAGAUCAGGAAUAUUUGUGUGUCAACAAGGACUCCUGUAAUUAUGUCAAGCAGGUCAAUAAUCAGGUUUUAAAAGCAAGUGGGCCCUAAUUAGUUCAACCCUAAUCAAGGUCCCAUGAAGAAAACUAUAAAUACAAGUCAAAUGUAUGGUUGUUGAGACUUUUUUCUCACAUUUAUUAUAACAUUAACUGUUACUGCCGGUCGAACCAUUGUCGACUUGAGCAUCGAAGCCUCUUUAUCAGGUACACCUAUCGACAUGAACAAUCAGACGAACAACAGUAGAGCCGAACGGGUCAAUGGAGUGAGGACUAGAAGAUUGGACAAAAUUGUUGAAGUAGAUCUUAAGCCCCCAUACCUGAAACAAUAUUAGGACAAGAUAUUAUCGUAUUUUGUCUAAGCCGUUGAAGGAUUUUUUAUAACUAAUUUGAUGGACUUAGUAUGAUAUGAUAAGAGAAUAAAAUUUUAUAUUAUAGGGUAAACAAAUAAUAUACCAAGAGUAGGUUAAGUUAUAAUCUUAUUUUUGUGUCUGGUGCAUAACUAAAUAAUGAUGGAUUUAAAUGAAUGAGAUGAAAGAAAAAAACAGUGUAUAUUUUCCUUAUACUGUUACAUUUUAACUGUUGUAUCUAUAAGAUAUAAAGAAGAAGUAAGGAACUUGCUAGAAAACCCUAACCCUAAAGUUAGGUAUACAUGAAAAAAUAAAUAAUAAAAACAUUAGAUUUCAAUACUCAUACUCAAGCUAGAGCAUAUAGAUUAUAUGCACACCAAGCUUGGAACAUAUAAAUUGAAUCCAAUGUUAUUUCAAUUACAUCAAUUGAAUUUUCAUCUUUUAACAAUGUAGGCACCUGAAGAAGUCUAUUGAUGAAGUUGUUCAUUGAUGGAAUUUUAUCACCAACUAAAACUUGGUCAUAUACUUGACCAAAUUUCGAGUGUAGGCUUCUCCGAAUUAGGACCAUGUAUAACUUAUCAAACUUUUUGUUGCUAUCUUCCAAUGAAUUAGUCACAAAAAAUAUCUUCACUUCUUCCACUACAACUCGAGCCUUUGCCACAUGAGUGACCAUAUCAUGAUUGGUCUAUGUGUGAGAGGCUACUCUUUGAGUUGCAUCAAAGAGACAUUAAUGCCAUAAGUAAAAAUGUCUUGAGCUAAAAGGAUGAGCUUGCCUUAUAUGGUCUCACAAUUUCUAAGACAUCUUGUUCAACUUAUUACCAUAAAACAACAUAUAAGUGGAAAUCCAAUUCCUACCAGUGAGGUUUCUCUUCAUCCGAAACAACACAGAGAUUCUUCUUUAUCCUUGACCUAGGAACCAUAACUCCACAAGAGCGGACCAAGAUAAAUAAUUUUUCUAGUUGAGUUUUGUCAUGGUAAUAGGUGUAGUAGAAAGGAAAAGUCAUUCCAAAGACUUGAAGAGGGAAGGAAAUACCCUAGCCUUGAGAGGAAAAACCCUAGGUGAGAGAUACUACCACUAGAAUAGAAGGUCAAGGGCAGAAACAAACCCAAAAGGCUCCAACAAGACGAAUGACGUUGGUCCGGUGUGAUUCUAGCAACAUGAAGGUGACAUGUGGGUGACAUGCGCCUGAAGUUGGCCAAUAGGAGGCGACACGUGGCAAAUCCCUGACUUCGUUGGAAGAUAUACAACGAUGACGACAAAGGGCGAUACCAAUCGACAGCGAUGACACCAAUAGAGAUGACCUAGACUCUGAUACCAAAAAUAAAUGAGAUAAGAAAAACAAUGGGGUAUUGUAAAGAACACUCUUAGACCUCCUGUGCCUGAACGGUGUGAUUCUGGAUGGAGGAAGCUUAUGGAAGAGUGUUGGUCACCGGAUCCCGAAAGCCGGCCAUCAUUCACAGAGAUAACCAGCAGGUUAAGAUCCAUGUCUCUACUCCUUCAAACAAAAGGGAAUUAUCAGUUAAGACCCUUCUGAAAGAUGCCACAUUUUCUGCAGUUAUGUUUCAUGAUUGCAGCAUUUUCAUUGUACAGUAAUGUGUUUGUUUAUAGAAGCACAUGCUUCCAGGGUUAUCACAACAUUGUUUCAUGUGAUUUUUAUUAGCUACAAUUUAUUUCUUCAUUUGUUUAUUCUUUUUUGUAGAAAUUUGAGGUUAAGAUCAUGGUAUAGUAGUCACUUAGAUCUAUGGAAUUUUGUACUUAGUGCAUCACUGAAUAUUUUGCAUAAGAUAUAUCAAAAUAGGAAAGAAAAGGUGUAUACAACCAACAGUGCUUGUAAUAUUUGUUUUGAUUGCUGAUGUGA